GAAAUGCCGACAAGAGAUGGGAGUGCGGAAGAGAGUGGAGCAAGGCUGACUCCCAACUCUGACCCCAGCUGCUCUGGUCCUGAAAGCCUCGGCUCCUCUCCUGGCCUUCAUCUACACUGACAGCUGCUUCUAGGUCCUGGAGCAUCCUCUCCCCUUCUCGUUCAGGUCCGGGAUGGUAAAGGCUCUCCAAUGCUGUCCCAAAGUGCUUCCCUGUCCCUUGCUGAUUUUCCCUUAACCAUCCCUGAACUGCUAUAACUAGUCCACUUAUUGACUGAUUGAUUUUUCCAUUUGCGGGCACCAUCUGCUUCCUUCCAUCUGCUUUCUUCAGAGACCCUGACCAAUGGCCCAGGCUCCUCUUUGGGUUCACAGCAUUUGCCAGCAUUAGAAGCACAUCCUUCAAGACUCCCCAUUUCCAAGAAUCCUCGCCAGAUUGUCCUUAAAAUACAUGUCUGGACUUACUUUCCACACACCAUUUAGCCUGUGUCAUCCUCUCCCUCUCACUCCGGACAGCAAUCCAUCCCCAAGACUCUGCCCACCAGCCCAGGGCAGGUGCGAGCUCUCCCUAAACCCCCUCUGUGCUUCCCUCAACAGCUAGCACAAGUCGUAUGCUCUCAGAAGAAGUUUGAGAGACCAAUAAACAUUCCCUCCCUUGCUCACACCCAGAGAACAUCACUUCAGCACUUUCGUUUGAAACACCAACGGUUUUUCAUACUGACUUUUUCUCAGUCCAUGACUCUCAAGAGGGCCUGGCCUGGGGAUGUGCCUGCCAUGGUCUCUCCCCCACGGUCCACCAGGGAAUGCAGAGCAACACAGAAGACUGAGCCUCAGGUGCCUAGUGCCUCAGGAUUCCUCUUCUGGACUGAUCAGACUCAGCCAAUCACUGGAAAGAGGCUCCUGUUGAAAAAGCUGCAGCCCUCUUCGGCUCCCUGACUGCACCUCUCCCCACCAUGCUGGGAGGUCAAGACGGAUGAGGGCGGGCGCCUCUCUGGAGCCAGGUCUAAUCAGAGAUACAGCUUCCAGAUGAAUCACCUUUGCAAGGCCUCCUUGCCAUGCCCCUUUGAAUUAAAAGAGCUCCCUCUACUAAUAUAUUAAUUAAAAUGAAAUAUUAAUAAGCUGACCUCUAUUAUUUAUCAGCUGUUUGGGGAGAAAAGAAAAAUAUUGAGAUCCAAAGAGAAAUCAAUUUCCCCAAAACCGC
ensembl:lncRNA